GCUGAUGACCCCCAAGAGUCCAUAUCGACGGGGUUGUUUGGCACCUCGAUGUCGACUCAUCGCAUCCUGGGGCUGGAGCAGGUCCCAAGGGUAUGGCUGUUCGCCAUUUAAAGCGGUACGUGAGUUGGGUUCAGAACGUCGUGAGACAGUUCGGUCCCUAUCUGCCGUGGGUGUAGGAAUAUUGAUAGGAUCUGUCCCUAGUACGAGAGGACCGGGAUGGACGUAUCUCUGGUGGACCUGUUGUCGUGCCAACGGCAUAGCAGGGUAGCUAUAUACGGACGGGAUAACCGCUGAAGGCAUCUAAGCGGGAAACCCACCUAAAAACGAGUAUUCCCUAUCAGAGCCGUGGAAGACCACCACGUUGAUAGGCCGGGUGUGGAAGUGCGGCAACGCAUGUAGCUUACCGGUACUAAUAGCUCGAUCGACUUGAUCAC
rnacentral:ncRNA from 1 species